CCUACGGGGUGCAGCAGUGGGGAAUAUUGGGCAAUGGGCGCAAGCCUGACCCAGCAACGCCGCGUGAAGGAAGAAGGCUUUCGGGUUGUAAACUUCUUUUCUCAGGGACGAAGCAAGUGACGGUACCUGAGGACUAAGCCACGGCUAACUACGUGCCAGCAGCCGCGGUAAUACGUAGGUGGCAAGCGUUAUCCGGAUUUACUGGGUGUAAAGGGCGUGUAGGCGGGGACGCAAGUCAGAUGUGAAAACCACGGGCUCAACCUGUGGCCUGCAUUUGAAACUGUGUUUCUUGAGUACUGGAGAGGCAGACGGAAUGCCUAGUGUAGCGGUGAAAUGCGUAGAUAUUAGGAGGAACACCAGUGGCGAAGGCGGUCUGCUGGACAGCAACUGACGCUGAGGCGCGAAAGCGUGGGGAGCAAACAGGAUUAGAUACCCUGGUAGUC
rnacentral:rRNA from 1 species